CAAUGGGCGAAAGCCUGACGCAGCGACGCCGCGUGAGGGAUGACGGCCUUCGGGUUGUAAACCUCUUUCAGCUCCGACGAAGCGAAAGUGACGGUAGGAGCAGAAGAAGCACCGGCCAACUACGUGCCAGCAGCCGCGGUAAUACGUAGGGUGCAAGCGUUGUCCGGAAUUAUUGGGCGUAAAGAGCUCGUAGGCGGUCUGUCGCGUCGGCUGUGAAAACUCGGGGCUCAACUCCGAGCUUGCAGUCGAUACGGGCAGGCUAGAGUUCGGCAGGGGAGACUGGAAUUCCUGGUGUAGCGGUGAAAUGCGCAGAUAUCAGGAGGAACACCGGUGGCGAAGGCGGGUCUCUGGGCCGAUACUGACGCUGAGGA
rnacentral:rRNA from 1 species